rnacentral:tRNA from 1 species
UGGCCGGUCGCCAAGUGGUAAGGCACCGGGUUUUGAUCCCGGCAUUCGCAGGUUCGAAUCCUGCCCGGCCAGCCA